UUUGGGAAGCCAAGGCAAGACCGUGUCUCUACAAAAAUUAAAAUUAAAAAAUUAGCCAGGCAUGGUGGCAUGUGCCUGUACUCCCAGCUACUUAGGAGGCUAAGGUGGGAGGAUCACCUGAGCCUAGGAAUGCAGUGAGCUAUAAUCUCAACACUAUACUCCUGCCUGAGAAACAGAGUGGGACCCUGUCUCUUUCUAAGAAAAUAAAAAAUAAAAAAAUUUACAUACAGCAGUAAGGUCUACAUUUUGCUUCCAUAUAUGAAUAUUUUGCUUCAAGUUGAUAUUUUAUAGAUGAUAAUAGAACUUUGUAGUUGAAGAGACCCUGGAAUUUAUUUUCCCAUUUCCUAAUAUCACAUUUCAUCAAAUAUAAAACGGCAUUAAUUGUAAGAUGCCUUGUUAUAUUGUGUACCACCGAAAGAAAAGAAAUGCCAACUGAAUAUGACAUGCCCUCAAUUGUAAGACACAUCUCAAUUUGAAAGACAUCAAAAUGUAAAAAUGGUGCAUAUUAGAAUUGAUACAAUAUUAUUCUUUACUAUCAUACCAUUCCUUCUUUCUCAGAUGAAACUCAUGUGUCAAGUUCUUCUCUGAUAAUGUAACAAGGCAUACACAUUGGACAAAACACAUAAAUGUUUUUACAGAAUUUCAAAGGAGAUACACAUUACUCUUCAUAGCUUAAAGAUGAUGUAACUGAGACUUAAGCCUCCACAGCAGAAGUUCAUCUGAAAACCUUUUAAUCUAUAACCCAGGCAAACACCUCUCGGCUAUUCCUGUAGGUCUAACAUUCACUUGGUUUCCUCUUCCUCUGCAUGUGACUCUCCCAUAUCAUUUCCACAAGGUACUGGAUUUAUGUGUAUCAGCCCUGUUUCCAAAACGUAUUUGUUGACCAUGUGGAUAGGCCAAUUAAGAGGUAUACGGAAAUCAUCAAGUCUAUUUCCACAUUUGUAUUAUGCAGAAACUGAUUUCCAGACAGGUAUUACAGCCAGUCAGAGACAAAACUGAGACUUGAGGCAAAGUUCCGCCUCAAAUUGAAUACUCUUCUCACUGUACAACAUACUUGGUUGCAUUGUUGGCCCAAAAAGAGUAAGUGUAUAUCACUGGUAUAUCAAAGUAUAUUACUUAAUUCAAGCCAAUAUCAUCUUACACAUUUUUAAUGACAAAAUUGGGGAAUCAAGAGAUAGAAAUCAGCACAGGAUGGUGGAAAGACUACACAGGCUUCAUAGCUAGACAGAUCUAAAUUUUAUUUUAGCUCCUUCAUUUACUAGCUACAUUAGCAUGGGCAAGUUGCUCAACUUUUCUGAACUGGUUGCUACCUGAGAGUUCUAAGAAUUAAAUGCACUGAAAUUAUAAGUAUCUAAUGUAUAGUAGAUGCUCAAUAAGUAUUGGUUUCCCUUAAUUCCCACCCACCACAAAAGAGCUAUUCCACUUCUAGCAAAUUCCUUUAGCUAUUUGGGUACCAGCUUCCUCAACUAUAAAAUGAGGAGAAACCAAAGGAAUUCCAAAUUCCCUCUCAGGCUAAUUGAGAAUUAAUUCUUCAAAGGAAUUUUAAAGAAACUCACCUUCUUUAAAAUUCAACAAACCCUUAAGUACCUGCUAACCAUCCUAGGCACUGAAAGAUUCCAACCACCACCAGAGAGCUAUCUAUGCAUUCAACAGAAUGGGAUCCAACUCCAUAGUAUUUUAAGUUCCAUGAAGAAAAAUCAUUAUGCAAGCAAAAGAACCCUAGCUU